rnacentral:rRNA from 1 species
CCUACGGGAGGCAGCAGUGGGGAAUAUUGGGCAAUGGGCGCAAGCCUGACCCAGCAACGCCGCGUGAAGGAAGAAGGCUUUCGGGUUGUAAACUUCUUUUCUCAGGGACGAAGCAAGUGACGGUACCUGAGGAAUAAGCCACGGCUAACUACGUGCCAGCAGCCGCGGUAAUACGUAGGUGGCAAGCGUUAUCCGGAUUUACUGGGUGUAAAGGGCGUGUAGGCGGGGACGCAAGUCAGAUGUGAAAACCACGGGCUCAACCUGUGGCCUGCAUUUGAAACUGUGGUUCUUGAGUACUGGAGAGGCAGACGGAAUUCCUGGUGUAGCGGUGAAAUGCGUAGAGAUUAGGAGGAAAACCAGUGGCGAAGGCGGUCGGCUGGACAGCAACUGACGCUGAGGCGCGAAAGCGUGGGGAGUAAACAGGAUUAGAUACCCCUGUAGUC